rnacentral:lncRNA from 1 species
GUGGCUCCCUGUGCCGGGUGCAGUGUGGGGUGCUAUGCCCGCCUGUUCUGUUGAAGCCUCAGAAGGACCCUGUGAGGCAGAAACUCUUGCCAUCCCGUUUUACAGUUCGGCAGAGCCAGGUGUUUGGAUUGAGUUGAUCCUGUCCCGUCUCCCCUCCCCAAGUCUCUGAAACCACAGAUCUCACUGGACGCCAGACAAACCCGAGUCUAAGCCUGGUGGGGAGCUCACACUGCCCACCUGGACACAGCACCAAGGAGUUGGCCUGUAGGAGCCACCCCAGGCCAGAGCGCUGAGGCCUGAAGGUUGGGGUGGGAUGUGCGGAGAGGGUGCGGAGGAGAGGCUAGAAUUCCAGAGACCAGAAUCCUGUGUGGAGACCAGCC